GUCUCUGCGCAGUGCGCGGAGAGGGGUUAAGAGAAUAGGCUGCCAUUUUAUGCUAUGGAACUGAAUGGCCAUUCUUGCUGUCCUUUGUUCCAAAAGGAAUCUUUUCUCGAAUUCUGCAUCUCCUUACGGAAUAUAUGUGAAUGUGUUUACAAUGGUAGCGUCAAGGAUCUCAGAAGGACGACAAAUAGCUGGAUGCGCCUCUUUGAUCAUUUUAUUUUUUCCCUCUCUCUUCCUGGAAUCCAUGUUUGUCUCAACUAGGUCAAGGCACACCCAAGUGUCAGCAUUUUAUCUCUGAAGUAAAAGCUUGUGAAUAAACAGCUUGAAUGUUUUUUUUUUUAAAGAUAAUAUAAUUAAGUCAAACCUUGACACUGUUUACCUUGAAAAAUGCAUACAGCUGUAGAUAUUUGUUCAACCUAAUUGUAUUUUCUGUAAAUUUUAACAAUCCUUCAGUUAUGUGGUCAUUUCUAAAUAACUCCAACAUUAAUUUGUGACCAUUCAUUUUUCUUUCAGUGUCAUUUGCAUGCCAAUUUCUAUCCACUUUUGCACCAUGUUUAAGAAAACAAAACAGACAGGAUGAAAUGCCCAAUUGGCUUAAAAAAAAAAAAUGCUGAUUCACUGUUGUGGCUGGUAAGUGUAGAAAUACUAUAACGAUCUUACAGGUACCUAAACACACUACUGAGAACAGAUUACAUAGAUGGGAAUACAAUGGAAUUUAAACUAAAAUGUUGUAAUGCAUGUAUGUCCAAGAACGGCUUUGUUGUAUACACACACACACACACAUACAUACAUACAUACAUACAUACACACACACACACACACACACACACACACAAACAAAACACACACUCGCACUGACAAUGGCUUUCGGAUGAAUGCUACGAAGGUAAGUCGAUCUAUAUGACCUUGCACCAAGGGCAUAUAGUGAUAUCUAGAAAUCAGCGUGUAUUUACCUCUUAUCAGGUGGAAAUGCGGCACAAAACACUGAAAGAAAAAAAAUAAGUAUAGGAAGGUGAAGUAUAAAUGCUCAUUAAGAAUAUUUACCUUAACAUUUUGAUGGCAUUUAUUUAUCAGGCCUACAGGCUGAAGAAAAAGGAACUUUGUCUUUCUCAUCUUCGGAUCCAUUAUUACAGGGUGUGCUUUUUAAGGUGGGUGGGGAUGGCUCCUAAAAAGAGAUAGAAAAAUAACUUCUCGUGAGAUCAUUUAAAACGCACGCAACCCGAACGUCCCUGACCACAAAAAAUUCAGAAAAUCUCCUAGCAGUAUUUGUGUGAGCAGUAAUAUGCAAACCUGCUUUCCGCCUUCCUGGAGGCAGACAAAGCAGGAGCCUGACACUCAUCAUUGCAAAGAUAGCAAGGCAAACAUUUCCGCGUCUUUUUGAAAUAUGCAGUACCAGUGGCGACCGGAAUGAGCUCUACAACUACGUGUAAUUUCGGGGUGAUGUAGCAACCAACAUUUCGUGGCGCAGUCAGUCCCCUCGCAGAGUAGGUGUGGGUGUUGUAGCUGGCAGCUUAGAUACCAUUUUGGUAUUCAGAAGAGUAAUCGGAGAGUCUGGCCUCUCGCCAGCCGUUCAGGGCGUUUUGCGCUGACUGCACACCACAGCCAUAUACGGGCAGAAAAACAAUUUCGAGCAGAGAGGUCUCUGCACCUUCCGUUGUCUUCACAAAGGGGAAUUUACGGACUGCUGCUGUUUUUCUCCCAGCCUUUCGAGAUAACAAUCGAUGAACAGAUUCGACAAGUACACAUUAUUUCUGUAUAGUAGCCUAACACAACCACCUUAGAUUAAAAAAAAAGUUGGUUGUGUGUUUAGGCAAGAACGACCUUUGGUGAUUUCCAUUCAGUUAGCUAUGUGAUUAAGCAAUUCGCUCAAGUCAAUUGCAGUGUGUAUAUUAUAUAAUAUAGCCUAUAUUUUUACAUUUUCAAUACUUUACUCUUGUCAGUGAAGUGUUGCAGGGCUAGAGUUGAAGUGUUAAUAAGUACGUGUUUAUUUUACAAUUUUUUAAACCUAGAAAGUAACGUUAUUGAAACACGUUUAUAAAAUGUGCGUUUGAGCUGGAGAGCAUCUGAAAUUUGCCCAAUUCGUUGUUCAAGACAAACAUGGGUCUGACUCGUUUCCUAGUGCACAGCCCGAUCUGUGCUGCGCUCCUACUACGGUUAUCCGACUGAAGACCACACCGGGCCACAGCGCGCUACCGAUCGGAAUGAUCUUGGAUCAAAUUCGUCUACACCUCUAAAACAAUAUUAGUGUGUCCACUGUUGGUAAAUCUACACACGCUCCACUGCGGAUGUUUUUUUUGUUUUUUUAAACUUCGGCGAACGACGCUGAAAUGUGUUCCACCCUCCCAGUUGACUCGCCUUUACUUACGACAGCGGGUCACGAGGUCAGAGAUGUUUACACGUUCUUUAGCUUCUUUGUGUUGGUGAUUUUUCUUGCUGCGCACUGAAAGCGUUGUCUUCAUGCCAAAUGUUUUCCAAGCGGCACUGAUUAUGCGCAUAAUCCAAAGAAAUUGUUGUAUUUAUUUUAUAUAACUAUUUCGAGUGUAAAUCUUGUACUUACUACUACCCUCGAUUAGACUUGGGGAAUUGUGUUUUUAUCUUUUUCAAUAGCCUAUCGGACAAAGAAGGGAAUACCGAAUACUUUUCCCUAUACAUUUUCACUGUCAUGUUUGUCAAGGGUAAGCUUAUAUAUAUAUAUAUUUAUUAGUCCACAGAUAAAACGGGGCCCUUGUGUAUGUGGUGGAGAAUGCGUCCGUGUGGUUAACGGCUGUUUAGCCUUCUCAGCUAGUGUCACUGACGAUAUAUUUGCCAAAUAUUUGUACAUUAUCCCAUUGAGUUCAGUGCUCUGACGUACGGGUUGCCAAAUGCAUCAUAAUGCUAUAAUUUCCUGUGCAUUUUAUCCCAAAAUGUAAGCAAAAUAUCCAUCAUAUACUUGGAAAUGAAAAAAAAACAAAAAAAACACUUCCUACACUUA